rnacentral:rRNA from 1 species
UGGCGGCGUGCCUAACACAUAGCAAGUCGAGCGAGGAGAUCCUCGGGAUGAUCCUAGCGGCGGACGGGUGAGUAACACGUGGGCAACCUGCCUCAUAGAGAGGAAUAGCCUUCCGAAAGGGAGAUUAAUACCUCAUAACAUUGCAGUUUCGCAUGGAACAGCAAUUAAAGGAGUAAUCCGCUAUGAGAUGGGCCCGCGGCGCAUUAGCUAGUUGGUGAGGUAACGGCUCACCAAGGCGACGAUGCGUAGCCGACCUGAGAGGGUGAUCGGCCACAUUGGGACUGAGACACGGCCCAGACUCCUACGGGAGGCAGCAGUGGGGAAUAUUGCACAAUGGGGGAAACCCUGAUGCAGCCAACGCCGCGUGAGUGAUGACGGCCUUCGGGUUGUAAAGCUCUGUCUUCAGGGACGAUAAUGACGGUACCUGAGGAGGAAGCCACGGCUAACUACGUGCCAGCAGCUGC